rnacentral:rRNA from 1 species
UACGGAGGGUGCAAGCGUUAUCCGGAUUCACUGGGUUUAAAGGGUGCGUAGGUGGGCAGUUAAGUCAGUGGUGAAAUCUCCGGGCUUAACCCGGAAACUGCCAUUGAUACUAUCUGUCUUGAAUAUCGUGGAGGUAAGCGGAAUAUGUCAUGUAGCGGUGAAAUGCUUAGAUAUGACAUAGAACACCAAUUGCGAAGGCAGCUUACUACCCGAAUAUUGACACUGAGGCACGAAAACGUGGGGAUCAAACAGG